rnacentral:rRNA from 1 species
AUUGAACGCUGGCGGCAUGCUUUACACAUGCAAGUCGAACGGUAACAGCACUUCGGUGGCUGACGAGUGGCGAACGGGUGAGUAAUACAUCGGAACGUGCCUAGUAGUGGGGGAUAACUACUCGAAAGAGUAGCUAAUACCGCAUGAGAUCUAAGGAUGAAAGCAGGGGACCUUCGGGCCUUGCGCUACUAGAGCGGCUGAUGGCAGAUUAGGUAGUUGGUGGGAUAAAAGCUUACCAAGCCGACGAUCUGUAGCUGGUCUGAGAGGACGACCAGCCACACUGGGACUGAGACACGGCCCAGACUCCUACGGGAGGCAGCAGUGGGGAAUUUUGGGCAAUGGGCGCAAGCCUGAUCCAGCAAUGCCGCGUGCAGGAUGAAGGCCUUCGGGUUGUAAACUGCUUUUGUACGGAACGAAAAGCCCUCUUCUAAUACAGGAGGGUCAUGACGGUACCGUAAGAAUAAGCACCGGCUAACUACGUG